rnacentral:rRNA from 1 species
GAUUGAAUGGCUUAGUGAGACCUCCGGAUCGGCUUUGGGGAGUCGGAAACGACACCCCGUCGCUGAGAAGUUGGUCAAACUUGGUCAUUUAGAGGAAGUAAAAGUCGUAACAAGGNUUCCGUAGGUGAACCUGCGGAAGGAUCAUUAUCGUAC